rnacentral:rRNA from 1 species
GCAGUCGAGCGAGCGGAACAACAGAUUUACUUCGGUAAUGACGUUGGGAAAGCCAUGUUGGCGGAUGGGUGAGUAACACGUGGGGAACCUGCCCCUAAGUCUGGGAUACCAUUUGGAAACAGGUGCUAAUACCGGAUAAUAAAGCAGAUCGCAUGAUCAGCUUUUGAAAGGCGGCGUAAGCUGUCGCUAAGGGAUGGCCCCGCGGUGCAUUAGCUAGUUGGUAAGGUAACGGCUUACCAAGGCGACGAUGCAUAGCCGAGUUGAGAGACUGAUCGGCCACAUUGGGACUGAGACACGGCCCAAACUCCUACGGGAGGCAGCAGUAGGGAAUCUUCCACAAUGGACGCAAGUCUGAUGGAGCAACGCCGCGUGAGUGAAGAAGGUUUUCGGAUCGUAAAGCUCUGUUGUUGGUGAAGAAGGAUAGAGGUAGUAACUGGCCUUUAUUUGACGGUAAUCAACCAGAAAGUCACGGCUAACUACGUGCCAGCAGCCGCGGUAAUACGUAGGUGGCAAGCGUUGUCCGGAUUUAUUGGGCGUAAAGCGAGCGCAGGCGGAAAAAUAAGUCUAAUGUGAAAGCCCUCGGCUUAACCGAGGAUCUGCAUCGGAAACUGUUUUUCUUGAGUGCAGAAGAGGAGAGUGGAACUCCAUGUGUAGCGGUGGAAUGCGUAGAUAUAUGGAAGAACACCAGUGGCGAAGGCGGCUCUCUGGUCUGCAACUGACGCUGAGGCUCGAAAGCAUGGGUAGCGAACAGGAUUAGAUACCCUGGUAGUCCAUGCCGUAAACGAUGAGUGCUAAGUGUUGGGAGGUUUCCGCCUCUCAGUGCUGCAGCUAACGCAUUAAGCACUCCGCCUGGGGAGUACGACCGCAAGGUUGAAAC